UACGUAGGAUGCAAGCGUUGUCCGGAAUUAUUGGGCGUAAAGAGCGCGCAGGCGGUAACUCAAGUCAGAUGUGAAAUAUCCGGGCUUAACCCGGAGGGGUCAUUUGAAACUGAGUAACUAGAGUACAGCAGAGGAUAGCGGAAUUCCCGGUGUAGUGGUGAAAUGCGUAGAUAUCGGGAGGAACACCAGUGGCGAAGGCGGCUAUCUGGACCGGAACUGACGCUGAGGCGCGAAAGCGUGGGGAGCAAACAGG
rnacentral:rRNA from 1 species